GCAUAAUAAAUAGUUUUUUAAUUGGAAACUGGAAUGAAGGGUAGAAACUUUAAGGGUUGUUUUAUUUAAAAAUUUUGAAAUUAAAUUAAAAGUAAAAAUGCUUUUAUAAAGCCUUGGGACGAGAAGACCCUAGAAGCUUAAAAUUAUGAUAAUAUUUUUGGUUGGGGUAAUCAUUGAAGAUAUAAAUUUUUAAAUUUAAGAAAAUUUUUUAUAAGUUACUCUAGGGAUAACAGCGUUAUUUAAUUAACAAGUUCUUAUUAAUAAUUAGGAUUGCGACCUCGAUGUUGAAUUAAUU
rnacentral:rRNA from 1 species